rnacentral:rRNA from 1 species
GAUGAACGCUGGCGGCGUGCCUAAUACAUGCAAGUCGAGCGAACAGACGAGGAGCUUGCUCCUCUGACGUUAGCGGCGGACGGGUGAGUAACACGUGGAUAACCUACCUAUAAGACUGGGAUAACUUCGGGAAACCGGAGCUAAUACCGGAUAACAUGUUGAACCGCAUGGUUCAACAGUGAAAGACGGUCUUGCUGUCACUUAUAGAUGGAUCCGCGCCGCAUUAGCUAGUUGGUAAGGUAACGGCUUACCAAGGCAACGAUGCGUAGCCGACCUGAGAGGGUGAUCGGCCACACUGGAACUGAGACACGGUCCAGACUCCUACGGGAGGCAGCAGUAGGGAAUCUUCCGCAAUGGGCGAAAUCCUGACGGAGCAACGCCGCGUGAGUGAAGAAGGUCUUCGGAUCGUAAAACUCUGUUAUUAGGGAAGAACAAAUGUGUAAGUAACUAUGCACGUCUUGACGGUACCUAAUCGGAAAGCCACGGCUAACUACGUG